UACGAAGGGGGGCUAGCGUUGCUCGGAAUUACUGGGCGUAAAGGGCGCGUAGGCGGAUAGUUUAGUCAGAGGUAAAAGCCCAGGGCUCAACCUUGGAACUGCCUUUGAUACUGGCUAUCUUGAGUUCGGGAGAGGUGAGUGGAAUGCCGAGUGUAGAGGUGAAAUUCGUAGAUAUUCGGCGGAACACCAGUGGCGAAGGCGACUCACUGGCCCGAUACUGACGCUGAGGCGCGAAAGCGUGGGGAGCAAACGGG
rnacentral:rRNA from 1 species